rnacentral:rRNA from 1 species
UUUAAUUGAAGAGUUUGAUCAUGGCUCAGAUUGAACGCUGGCGGCAGGCCUAACACAUGCAAGUCGAACGGUAACAGGG